GACGAACGCUGGCGGCGUGCUUAACACAUGCAAGUCGAACGGAAAGGCCCUGCUUUUGUGGGGUGCUCGAGUGGCGAACGGGUGAGUAACACGUGAGUAACCUGCCCUUGACUUUGGGAUAACUUCAGGAAACUGGGGCUAAUACCGGAUAGGAGCUCCUGCUGCAUGGUGGGGGUUGGAAAGUUUCGGCGGUUGGGGAUGGACUCGCGGCUUAUCAGCUUGUUGGUGGGGUAGUGGCUUACCAAGGCUUUGACGGGUAGCCGGCCUGAGAGGGUGACCGGCCAAAUUGGGACUGAGAUACGGCCCAGACUCCUACGGGAGGCAGGAGGGGGGAAUAUUGCACAAUGGGCGGAAGCCUGAUGGAGCAACGCCGCGGGCGGGAUGACGGCCUUCGGGUUGUAAACCGCUUUCGCCUGUGACGAAGCGGGAGUGACGGUAAUGGGUAAAGGAGCACCGGCUAACUACGUG
rnacentral:rRNA from 1 species